rnacentral:rRNA from 1 species
AUGUUACCUCCUGCCACCGCCAAAGUCGACGCCGGUGACCUCUCUGGCCGCACCGCCCCCGCCACACAUUCCUUGAACCGAGCCAGAACUCAUGGCCGUCCUCGCCGUGCCAGAAGAGCUCCCCGUCGCUGCGCCCGACCACCGCCACCUCCUGUGCCACGGGCACACCCCUCCCCUAAGGCUUCAAGCCACCUCCCGUGCCGGCCGUCGCCGCCACUUGAGCUGAGCCGUGGCUCGAGCUUCGGUAAGGCUGGGAAUCAGACUGUAAUACCUCUCUGCCUCCCCACGCCCCCUAUCAGGCCAGCAUGA